rnacentral:rRNA from 1 species
UCUGGUUGAUCCUGCCAGUAGUCAUAUGCUUGUCUCAAAGAUUAAGCCAUGCAUGUCUAAGUAUAAGCAAUUUAUACAGUGAAACUGCGAAUGGCUCAUUAAAUCAGUUAUCGUUUAUUUGAUAGUUCCUUUACUACAUGGUAUAACUGUGGUAAUUCUAGAGCUAAUACAUGCUUAAAAUCUCGACCCUUUGGAAGAGAUGUAUUUAUUAGAUAAAAAAAUCAAAUGUCUUCGGACUCUUUGAUGAUUCAUAAUAACUUUUCGAAUCGCAUGGCCUUGUGCUGGCGAUGGUUCAUUCAAAUUUCUGCCCUAUCAACUUUCGAUGGUAGGAUAGUGGCCUACCAUGGUUUCAACGGGUAACGGGAAUAAGGUUCGAUUCCGGAGAGGGAGCCUGAGAAACGGCUACCACAUCCAAGGAAGGCAGCAGGCGCGCAAAUUACCCAAUCCUAAUUCAGGGAGGUAGUGACAAUAAAUAACGAUACAGGGCCCAUUCGGGUCUUGUAAUUGGAAUGAGUACAAUGUAAAUACCUUUAACGAGGGAACAAUUGGAGGGCAAGUCUGGUGCCAGCAGCCGCGGUAAUUCCAGCUCCAAUAGCGUAUAUUAAAGUUGUUGCAGUUAAAAAGCUCGUAGUUGAACUUUGGGCCCGGUUGGCCGGUCCGAUUUUUCGUGUACUGGAUUUCCAACGGGGCCUUUCCUUCUGGCUAACCUUGAGUCCUUGUGGCUCUUGGCGAACCAGGACUUUUACUUGAAAAAAUUAGAGUGUUCAAAGCAGGCGUAUUGCUCGAAUAUAUUAGCAUGGAAUAAUAGAAUAGGACGUUUGGUUCUAUUUUGUUGGUUUCUAGGACCAUCGUAAUGAUUAAUAGGGACGGUCGGGGGCAUCAGUAUUCAAUUGUCAGAGGUGAAAUUCUUGGAUUUAUUGAAGACUAACUACUGACGAAAGCAUUUGCCAAGGACGUUUUCAUUAAAUCAAGAACGAAAGUUAGGGGAUCGAAGAUGAUCAGAUACCGUCGUAAGUCUUAACCAUAAACUAUGCCGACUAGGGAUCGGGUGGUGUUUUUUUAAUGUACCCACUCGGCACCUUACGAGAAAUCAAAGUCUUUGGGUUACUGGGGGGGAGUAUGGUCGCAAGGCUGAAACUUAAAGGAAUUGACGGAAGGGCACCACCAGGAGUGGAGCCUGCGGCUUAAUUUGACUCAACACGGGGAAACUCACCAGGUCCAGACACAAUAAGGAUUGACAGAUUGAGAGCUCUUUCUUGAUUUGUGGUGGUGGUGCAUGGCCGUUCUUAGUUGGUGGAGUG